ensembl:lncRNA
CUCCAUGAAUGUGUGGGCACAUGGAAUAUACUGGGACAUGCUCAGUCAGCUUAACAGUCAGCAGCUGAUGACUCAUCCUGAGCCUGCUUCAGAUAGGACUGAUGUGAAUGACAAUGGCUGACACGGUAUUACCUUGUAAAAUAAUUUAUUUAUGAUUUUGUAGAACUGAUGUCGUGGAAGCCUGCUUUCUUAUGGAAACAUUCAUCAUUACCGAUUUAGGCAUAUUGAUUUACAUUUCUUUGACUUUGAGCUUAAUACUGAGUGUAAACGUUCCCAAAUAGUCACAAGUGAACAGAAAACAUAAUGAAUGUAAGAGCUGACAUUUUUUAUGAAUAUGAACUUCAUAGCAAGUUAUACCCACCCCAGUGGGGGGAAGAAAGAGAUUCUACUUUUCUCACAAUUAUCUAGAUAAACACAAAUUGAAAGCUUUUGCUGUGAUUUAUCUGGAUAAUUCUGACAAUAUAGGUUUAUUAAAAUGCUUCAUACAAAGCAUUCUGAAUUUCAUUUUGCUUUUAUAUUUGUGCAUUUCUUGCAGAUGCUCACAAAAUGUCUUGGAUAACAGCUGACUUUGUAAUGUCCUCAUCAUGAUCGGAGGGGACAAAGAGGCUGAAUUCCUAUACCAGUCUAUCUCCCAAAGACUAUUGAAACACUUCAUGAAUUGUAUCUGCAAUAAUAUUAAUCAAGACACAAAGGUCAAACCAGUAGAACUGCUGGCUUAUUCUGGGCCUACAGUCCUAUCCUCGAAAUUUUGCUUUCUUCUUGUUGAGCUCCUUGAAUUUGAGGAAGGCCAAGUGUGAGAGAGGAUGGUGAAGAAAGGGUAAAAGUUGCUUGUAGCUGGGCAUGGGCAACUCCAAUGCCACCACAGAGAUAAGUCUCUACCAGCUCAGGAGCUGGGAGAGGGCCCUGGUGGAGGAGAAUUUGCAUAAGGAAAUCAGCAGCUCUGUAGUACACUUGUAGCACGUGACAGGAAAAAUUUGUCGUUGGCUAUUUAUGAAUUAAAUCUUAAUAAAAUCCCUAGGUCUUCCCUAACCAAGUGCAAAUGUCUUAAGAGGUUACCUAUAAUUUUGAACAUCCUUUCAGCACAUUUUAUGCAUAGUUAAUGUGUGCAGUUGUGUCUAGGCACAGGACAGAUUUACUUCUGUAUCAAUAUUUGAGGCACUGUAUAUGGCACAGAGACCCCAUUAGUCAGUGAAAUUAUGGCCUAUUCAAGGAGAUGAAAAUUUAGUGAGAAUCUUAACUAGGAAGACAACAAAGUUACUCUUUCAAAGAAAUAAUUUAAGUGACUUUGAAGAGAAAAUAAGAUUUUUUUUUUUAAUGGAAAGUUUAUUUUCCAAACUACAAGACAGUUAAAUAGUUAGCAUCUCUCUUAAACCCUAAAUUUUAAUUUAUCACUCAGUGAUGUCACUGAUAGUCUCUAGCUCUUAAUAAAUGCAGUUCAUCUUCUCGUGUGUCAGUUUUCUCAUUUUAAAAAUUAAUUAUAAUGAUAAAGCUAUUUUUAAGUGAUUUUUUUUUCUUUUUUUUUUUUUUUUUUUUUUUUUUUCCUGAGACAGAGUCUCCCUCUGCUCCCUCCGUCACCCAGGCUGGAAUGCAAUGGUGUGAUUUUGGCUCACAGCAACCUCUGCCUUCCGGGUUCAAAUGAUUCUCUUGCCUCAGCCUCCCCAGUAGCUGGGAUUGCAAGCGCCUGCCACCACUCCUGGCUAAUUUUUGUAUUUUUUUGUAGAGACGGGGUUUCACCAUGUUGGCCAGGCUGGUCUCAAACUCCUGACUUCAAGUGAUCGACCUGCCUUGGCCUCCCAAAGUGCUGGGAUUACAGGUGUGAGCCACCAUGCCCGGCUCUAAAUGAUUCGUAGCAUAAUAGUAACACAUUUGAUGAUACAUGAACAACUAUAGAUAGAGCUAGAGGUAGAAAAAAAAAGAAAUGAAAUUAUUCCCUAGCUUUUCCUGGGUUGUAACAAAUUCCCAGAACAUUUGAACCCUCCACUGAAUCUAGGUUUAUGAUAUAUAAUUGAAGAGUAGACAGACAUCUUAGGAACAAAAGUACAAAGAAGAAAGGGGUACAUCAAAUUGGUGAGUGAGCAGAAAUAACAACAUCCAGAAGGAAUUUUCUACCCUGACUUUUAUUUUUAGGAACACUUUCUACUCCACCUCCCUGACUUCUGCCUUCCAUCUUAAGCCCUAGCUUAUCAUCAACACUAAGUGUAAGAUCAGUUUAGAGACCAGGGGAAGUGAAAUAUAAUUUAUUCAGCAAAACUUAUAGAGAUAAUUUAAGGAAUGUAAAAGUAAUUUCAUAAUUUGGAUUUUGGCCAGCAAAUAAAAACUAAUAUCCAACUCCUUUUCCCACGACUAGGAGUGAGAAUAAUGAUUUCAUAUCUCCUGUGAAUUGCAACAAUUACAACAAUAUUGUUGAAUAUUGAAGUAAUUUUCCAGCCCUACAGGAAUAUGUAAGAGUUUUUAAAAGCAGAAAAAAAAAAGACAUCUAGAAGCAAGGUCAGACAGGAAAGUAACAUUUUAAGGCGCCACUAAAUAAUUUUUGAAACCCCAUUUGAAAUUUAUAAACUGAUCAUUUAAUGGUUUUGGCUUUUAUAAAUAUGAUGUAUAUUCUUGUUUCUUGAUUCUAUAAUCAAAUGAUAAAUGAUAAUAUAAUAUAAAUAGCAGCAGAUAAUUUUGGACAUGAUCAUCAAAUGAAGUUUUCUAACUGAAAAAUUGAAGUGGAUGCAAAUAUACAAAGGAAAUUUAUACACGAUUUUAGACUAAAGAACAAUCCAUCUGAUCAAAAGACAUCUUAUUAUUCUUAUUAUUUGUAAUAGAUGACUUCAAUUGCAAUCAAAUGACAA